UACGGGGGGGGCAAGCGUUGUUCGGAAUUACUGGGCGUAAAGGGCUCGUAGGCGGCCAACUAAGUCAGACGUGAAAUCCCCAGGCUCAACCUGGGAACUGCGUCUGAUACUGGAUGGCUUGAAUCCGGGAGAGGGAUGCAGGAUUCCAGGUGUAGCGGUGAAAUGCGUAGAUAUCUGGAGGAAUACCGGUGGCGAAGGCGGUUCUCUGGGCAUUACCUGACGCUGAGGAGCGAAAGUGUGGGGAGCGAACAGG
rnacentral:rRNA from 1 species